rnacentral:rRNA from 1 species
AGUGAACGCUGGCGGCAUGCCUUACACAUGCAAGUCGAACGGUAACAGGUUAAGCUGACGAGUGGCGAACGGGUGAGUAAUACAUCGGAACGUGCCCAGACGUGGGGGAUAGCUCGGCGAAAGCCGGAUUAAUACCGCAUGUGAUCUGAGGAUGAAAGCGGGGGACCGUAAGGCCUCGCGCGUUUGGAGCGGCCGAUGGCAGAUUAGGUAGUUGGUGGGGUAAAGGCUUACCAAGCCUACGAUCUGUAGCUGGUCUGAGAGGACGACCAGCCCCACUGGGUCUGAGACACGGCCCGGGCUCCUACGGGAGGCAGCAGUGGGGAAUUUUGGACAAUGGGCGAAAGCCUGAUCCAGCAAUGCCGCGUGCAGGAUGAAGGCCUUCGGGUUGUAAACUGCUUUUGUACGGAACGAAAAGGCGCCUACUAAUACUGGGUGUUGAUGACGGUACCGUAAGAAUAAGCACCGGCUAACUACGUGCCAGCAGCCGCGGUAACAC